rnacentral:rRNA from 1 species
AUACGGAGGAUCCGAGCGUUAUCCGGAUUUAUUGGAUUUAAAGGGUGCGCAGGCGGCCAUUUAAGUCAGCGGUUAAAUCGUGGGGCUCAACCCCAUUCUGCCGUUGAUACUGGGUGGCUUGAUUGCGGUCGAGGUUGGCGGAAUUCGUUGUGUAGCGGUGAAAUGCAUAGAUAUGACGAAGAACACCGAUUGCGUAGGCAGCUGACCAGAUCGCAAAUGACGCUCAUGCACGAAAGUGCGGGGAUCGAACAGGAUUAGAUACCCUGGUAGUCCACGCUGUAAACGAUGAAUACUAGGUGUGGGGGGACUGACCCCCUCCGUGCCGCAGUUAACACAAUAAGUAUUCCACCUGGGGAGUACGAUCGCAAGAUUGAAACUCAAAUGAAUUGACGGGG